AUGCAUUGCGUUUGGCUGAAUGGUCAUUUAAAGUGGGAAAUGAAGAAGAGACGGAAAGAGGCUCUUUUCUUGCCUUCCCACAAAGCAGCACCAACCAGUCUCAGCAUCACCGCCCAAGCGAAAAGCAGCUUCUUACCUUUCCUGUUGUUGCUGCUGCAGAGAGAGGGAUGGAGUCUCCACCGAGGGGCUUUCCCUGGGCAACCCGGCCCCUUCUCAACCGGGUGGCUGGCAGCGGGGGGCCCGGAGCCGAUGCAAAAGCCACAAAGGAAGGAUUCAGCAGAACCCACCCACCUCUCCUCGCUCGAAUUUGUUCGGAACUGUGGCCGCGAGUGGCGCAGGAGAAGCGCCGCCAAGGAAAGGCAGUUUCGGCUUCUUCAGCCCAGGCGACUCGAGCGCUCUCUCCGAAGGCUCUCUCGGCAGUCCCAAAUAUGGGGAAGCUCCUUCGGCUGCUCCGGUCUUGGCAAGAUCAGCUGGGGGGAGGGGGGAGAGAACCUCGCUGGCUCGGGAACCCCCUCCCCGGCUGUCUCCUCAGGGCCGGCCUGGUCGUUUCCCCCCCAUGCUGACCGGGGGGGGCACCGCCCCCUGUGGUCGCCUCGCGCUGCGCAGAGGCCCCCGCCCACGGGUCGUGGGAGCCUAGCGGCGCGGCCAGAGCAGGGACGCCGCGUCCCGUUAGCUCCGCUGCGGCCUCCCCGGGGCCUGCAAACACGCCGGGCGGGCGAAAGCCAGGCCUGGGGAAGGACUUGGAGAAGCUGCCGGGGAAGCCCCAAAGAAGGUCGCAAACAGCGAAGAGGAGCGGGAGGCGGCGAGGACGCAGCAGCUGCCUGGCCUGGGUGGCCGCUGGGUGCCGCGCUGCCUUUGCUUUGCUUUGCUUCGCUUCGCUUCACUCGCUCUAGUCGCCGGCUGGGCUUCUCCUCAGCAGCGCCCCGCCGGCGGCUCUCCAAGUGCCACCACGCCAGCCGCCGGCUUCUGCGCGCCUCAGAGCCAAGCCGCGCUCCCUCCUCCUCCUCCUCCUCCUCCUCCUCUUCCGAACGGAAUAAAGGGCGAAGGGAAGGCGGGCUCCUGGGGGCGCUAAGCGACGGCGCCUUUCUCCUUCCCAGCCUCGCUGGCUUGGCUUGCUCAAGAGAAGUAGAGGAAGGCGGCGGCGGCGCUCCUGAGCGCUCCUUCGUCAGAUAA
rnacentral:lncRNA from 1 species